UCACACCAAUUAUGGAAUGUAAAUAUUCUACAAUCAAUUUCGUUCCUAUCUUUAUUUGAUAGGAUCCGGUUUCCACACUCCCUCUCAAGUUGGAUCAUAGAUGUUAAUCGUGUCCAACUUGCAUAUGAAAUCAUUGAAGGUUGGACGAGGUAGUCCCUUAGUAAAGAUAUCUGCAACUUACUCUUGUGUAGGAACAUAAGUCAUGCAAAUGGUUCCUUCCUCAACUUUCUACUUUAUAAAGUGUGUCAACUUCUAUAUGUUUAGUACGAUCAUGUUGGACUGGAUAAAGUGAGAUAUUGAUUGCUACCUUGUUAUAUUGGAUCAUAGAUGUUAAUCGUGUCCAACUUGCAUAUGAAAUCAUUGAAGGUUGGACGAGGUAGUCCCUUAGUAAAGAUAUCUGCAACUUACUCUUGUGUAGGAACAUAAGUCAUGCAAAUGGUUCCUUCCUCAACUUUCUCCUUUAUAAAGUGUGUCAACUUCUAUAUGUUUAGUACGAUCAUGUUGGACUGGAUAAAGUGAGAUAUUGAU
rnacentral:lncRNA from 1 species